GGGAAAUUUAUUUUCAGGACCACAGACUCUGAAAUAUGAAAGAGAAGUAAUAUUUCCCCAGUCUUUCUUUUUUUUUUUGGUACCGGAGAUCGAACUCGGGACCUUGCGCUUGCGAGGCAGGCACCAGAACCACUGAGGUAAAUCCCCGGCCCUCCCCAGUCUUUCUUGCCUCAAUGAGUAAAAAGAGAUUCUAGUAAUUUGACCAAAUUUAAUUCACUCUGACGUACACAUUUUGUCUUUUUGACUCAAAUGAAACUACAGAGCCAGCAUGGUGAUGCACACCUGUAAUCCCAACAGCAUGGAAGCCAAGACAGGAAGAUCACAGGCCAGCUUGGGCAACUUGAUGUGACCUCACCUCUGCUGAACCCCUGGAGUUCUAGAAAUGACCCAAAUGCCCAUCAAUUGUUACAGCCUCAAUGGUCCUGUGACUCUGUGAUGCUCAAUGGCAGAAUUACACCAGCUGAAGACAUCUUGAGGAGGAACAAAAUCUUCAUCUGCAUAGUUCCUCACUGUUCUAGGAUUAUUGCUGCCCUGCCCUCUGAGUCAUCUGUUACAUUUGUUACUCCUGAUAUACUAAAUCUGCAGCCCUCUGAGUCAUCUGUUACUCCUGAUGUACCAAAUAAAGCUGUGCUAAGCUCAGGGUCUUUCUAUUCUUUUUUUUUUUUUUUUGGUACCAGGGAUCAAACUCAGGACCUUGCACUUGUGAGGCAAGGAUGACACCACUGAGCUAAAUCCCCGGCCCAGCUUGGGGCCUUUCAUCUUUGCUGCCCAAUGGAGAAUUGAUCAGGCCCAAAGUUCAGCUUCUUCUCUAAGUCUCAUUUUCUGUCUUACUUCAUUAAUUCACCUUGUGCUGUCAUGGCUCACAGGAGACUAGGACUCACUGCAGGAAUUCUAGUAACAUCCCCUUUCCCUGUUCCCUACAAGGUGGGCAUGGUG
rnacentral:lncRNA from 1 species